AUGUGGUUCCCCAAAUUGGGGACUCAUGGGGAUUUGGGUACUGCUGGAGCUGUAGCACACUCUGAUAGCUCUCCUCAACCCACUGAAGGUGCAACCCAUCCCAGUCUCCACCCUCAGCAGGGCUGGCUCAUCUGAAGUGGAAUGAUGUGUGAGAUAUUGAAUUGCAGCUUCUUGUCCCUUAAAACCGCCUUUGAUAUCUCAGCCUUCAGAAGUCCCCUUUCUGGAAAAUCAUCCAUCUCCCAUCUGCCAACUCCAGUGCAGGCAGCGCUGUGAGUGCAUCCCCAGCUCGGAUAGAUGGCCGCAAAAUAAAUCAUCUUCUACCCCUCUGGUCCAAGGAGCCACCAAGAGCUUUUUGCUGUGGGAUAGCAGCAUUCCUGCCGCACUGAUUUAUGACCUCCGCUCAGCACAGAGCAUUACUCACAGGACAGCUGGAGGCUUGGAGCAGCACCUUUCUGCUCCCCCCUGGGCCAAGACAUGACUGCUCCUGGAGGAGAUGGUUUCAGCUCUCUGUUGAACGCAGGUCUGGAUGUCUCAUGGAAUGGGAGCUCCUUUUCCAGGGAUUCAGAUGUAAGAAUGACAGAAGAGGUUCUGCCAAAAGAAGCCUCACCUAGAGAUGCAAUGAGGAUCAAAGCUGUGCUGUGAAGUUCAGAAGUGCUUCCCUGCAUGUUUUCCUCUCUCCAUAACGUACUUCUGCAUCUCUCUGCACCGUGCAUUGCCUGGGAAGGAAGCAGAGGCAGCAAAGCUCUGUUUCUCCGGGGACUUCUCCUCUUCCAGCAGUGGAGAAGUGCGACAAUUGCUUUGGAGAAAGCUUGAUGUGAGGCAUUCCACAUCCCAGGGACACCCCGUUGCAUUUGUGGGGAGAAAAAGAGCGCAGACACCUGCAGCUGACCAACACGCACACCCUGGCAUCCUGUGGGCUCAAUGCACAGAGCCUUCCCUCCUCGAGCUCCCGGCAGUGCCCUCUCUGGGAAACGGCUUUCCAUGUCCGUGCCGCUCCGCCUCGCUGAGCCCGAGCCGGGAGGAUCUGUAGCAUCCAACAUCGUUGGCCCAAAACGCGGCGUGUCCAAUUAUUCGCCUGGAUGAUGGGGAGAAGCCCCGGGAGAAGCCCAACGACAACAGCAAAGUGAGGAAAUCAGUGUGCUGUGGGGCGGUGGGACCCCCAUGCUGGUGUCUGUGGCACAGUGUGGGGCUGAGCAGUCACAGAACUGCAGAAUCGGGAAGGCUGGGAAGAUCUCUGAGAACCCCAAGCCCACCCCACAGUGCCCACUGGCUGUGCUCUCAGUGCUGCAUCUCCACCGUUCAGGUACACCUCCAGGAAGCCCCUGGGUGCUGCUGUGCCGUGGGUCUCACCACACCUCAGAGCUUCUUAUCCCUCCUGCUGCUCUGUCCAAGGCCACAGGGUGGGUGUCGGGUGGUACUGAGAGCCUCCAUGUCCUGCUUUGGGGAGUUGGUAUCCACAGCCUUCAAGAACAGGCUGGCUACCAGAUGGGUGAACCAAAUAAGCCUCCAACAUUUAUCUGAGAGUUCGACGUUUUCCUGUGUUGUUAACCGCAGAGGAAACUAGGUGGUUUGCAGCCACGCUGAGCCGCUGCCAGCCCCCAGCCUUCGAAUAUUUUCACAGGGAGGGGGAGGAGGGAGGGGGCUUUUUCCUCCAAGCCAGAUGGCCGUAUGGAAUCAAUAAAAGUCCGUUUCAAAAGUUUGUUUACUUAACAUUGAAUAUAAUAUGCCUUUGUGGUCCCUUUGCACUGCACAAAAAUGUGAUCCAGCACCGAGCUAAUGAGGAGAGCGCUGCGGAGGACAUCGCUGCACCGGUCGUUGCCUUUUGCACCCACCUCGUGGGCUCUGUGGGGGCUUUUAGGGCUUGUAGGGCUGUGGGGCAGCAGGGACUCUUUCUUUCUUGCUGGAGCUCUGGAUGGUGGUACUUGGGCUGUGAGGAUGUCAGCUGGAUGUUGGGUGUUGGAAAUCAGAUGUUGGAUGUUGGUAGUCAGAUGUCGGAAGUCAGAUGUUGGAUAUUGGAUCCUGGGUGUUGAAAGUUGGAUGUUGGAAGUUGGGUGUUGGAAUUCGGGUGUUGGGUAUUGGUAGUUGGAUGUUGGAAGUCAGGUGUCGGAUAUUGGAAGCUGGGUGUUGGAAGUCAGAUGUUGGAUAUUGGAUAUUGGAAGUUGGGUGUUGGAAAUUGAGUGUUGGAAGUUGAAUGUCAGAAGUUGGAUGUUAGAUGCUGGGUGUUGGAACUUGGAUGUUGAUUGGGUGCAGCCCCUAAAACCUGUGCAGGAGGAAGGCUCAGCAUGUGUGAAAUAUCUGAAACCUUGUAAGGUAUUCAUCUUGUGCUGUAAUUAUUUUUAAACAUCCCAAAUUAUAUGAGUAGUACAGGGAAAACAAUGUCGGCUUGUCUUUAAAACACAGCCUUUCAUUACGGAAAUCUGUCAUCUGUUAAUUCAUUAGAGCCCCGACAGAAAAAGCUGAGAUCAAAACUAUUUUAAAUGAUUCCUGAUGACACACAAUGGCAAAUUUCAGCCAUUAUUCCGGAAAUGUAACCAUCAUUCUUUCUGCUGGAUUCAACAAGGGUCCUUCCUCUGAUAUUAAUUGACUUCUAAGUAGUUGCACAUGUUGUUGUUGUGUUAUUGCUCAGAUCUCUUUCUGAAGUGCGUGGCGAUGUGAGCAAGAAGCCUUGGGCUCCUCAGAUCUCUCUGUCAGACCCACACAGCACUGAGCUCUUAGCACUGGGAACCAGGGGCUCACCAAGCUCUGGGCUCUGCUGCCUUCACCUGCUUUAGUGAGCGGGGGGCAGUUCGCCUCCAUGAGAAAAAGAAUAAAAAACACCACACAUCUGUUUUGUUUUUCUGUUGGUUUUUUUCUUUCUUUCUUUCCUUUUUUUUUUUUUUUUUUUUCCCUGAAGAUCCAAGGCAGAAUUUCAAAGCAAAUUCCAAAUCUUAUUUUGUUGCCUUUGUUUCCACGACAUCUCUGCGGGCGCAGCUGUCUGCACUGCUCAUGGAGCCAUCCAAGAGCCCGCAUGGCAAACGCAGACCCAAGGUGCUGGGACAGACUCUGUGCUGUUAAUGAAUUUAUUUGUUAGAUGGCAUUAUUGCCACUCAAAGCAAGCUGCAGAAUCCGUGGAGUAUUUGCCAUUUGCAUUGUUUUCCCUUUGCAUUUCAAGCUUGGCUGGGGCAGCGCAGGUGCUGGUGGCCUCGUGAUGCUGGAAAGCCAUGUUCAUCCUCCUUGGUCUUUGUGGCUCAGCUGGUGCUGUGUGGGUAAUGCCUCACAUCUGCUGUGUGCACAGCACAACAUGGUCCUGGGAACCUGAAAGACGUGGAAGAAAACCAAGUCCUGUCCUUCAUGCAGCUUCUGCCACAAGCUCUGCUCCAUUAAUCUUCUUCCUGGCAUCAGUUUUCUGAAGCCUCGGUAUGUAAUGCGUUCAGCAGCACUGCGCGUUUGCUUUUUAUUUCUCCUUCUCCCCUAGGUCUCGUUGGCUUUGUAACAAGGCACAGAACGACCUGAUGAUGGGAAGGAUGUACAGAUGCUUCUCAGUUGGGCACUGUGUGGCUCUGAGCGCUCACCUCGAGCUGCUGGCUCUGCCCCCAGGUGCUCCCCCGUUGGCAGGAGGGAUGCUGCUGCUCCUGUCACAGCUGUCCCCUUAUGGCUGCAGAACCCUUGCUCGGGGCUCCUGAUACCCAGGGCUGGUCCAGGUGCUCCUGGAGCCCAGCCAGCUGUGAUAAAUCUCCUUAAUUGCAGCUCAUUGUAAUUAUGCUUUAUAUGGAGCUGAUGCUAUUACUGCUGGGAGCUUUGGCCUGAUGAAUCCUAAGCAGGAGAUCUCUAGCCCUCCUUGGGGGCUGGGGACAUUGAGCUCCAGGGUUUGCUGGGGCUGGUGGAGCUGGCUUUCAGCCCUGUGCUGCAAUGGGCAGAGUGCAGGAGCAAAGGUAGUGGGGAGAUGGCCAUCCGUACCUCACUUCAUUUUGGUACUGUCCACCCAAGAACCUGUCUGGUGCGUGUGCAGAAGAACCUUCAGCAUUAAUGACCCUCUGACAGGUAAGCGAUCAGAGAAUCAUUACGGUUGGAAAUGGCAUCUGAGAUCCCCACCCCACCAUGCCCACUGACCACGUCCCUCGGUGCCACAUCUCUAUGUUCCCUGAGCAUCCCCAGGGAUGGAGACCUCCACCGCUCCCUGGGCACCCUGUGCUGGUGCAUUACAGCUCUUCAGAGAAGAAAUGUUUCCAGAUGUCCAGCCUGAUCCUCUCCUGGUGCAAUGUGGGACCAUCACCUCUCAUCCAAUCAACACCACUGCCAUCUCCAGCCCUUCUCUAAGCGCUCCAUGCAUCCACAGCAGGUAUUGAGGUCACGUUUUGGGCACGCAGCCCCAUUUGCUGAGGGGUGAGGUGAGUGUCGUGAGUCAGAAUGAGCUUUCCCAUAGGAAAUGCCCCACGGUCUCUUCCCACCCAGCAGCGGGCGCUCCCGACCCGGGGUGCUCCAUGGAUCAUGGCACGGCUCCAUCUGGCUGAUCCCAAGGAAUGCCCGGGCGCAGCCGCAGCUCCGGGGGAUUAAACUGAAGUCUAACGUUACACCCCUUGGAAGAGCAGAGCUUUACUUGGAAACCGAAUCGCAUUAAUUAGCAUUCUGCUAAUGGCUGUUUUGUAUAAAUAUAGUGUGCCUUAAUACCAACACGAGUCGCAGGUUGACAUAUUUAGAUCGCUGAUAUCAAAGUCAUUAACGCCUCUCCGUGGUAAACCUAUUCUCAGUUCGGGCUGCAAAUGGGAUUCUCCUGAGCCAAUCAAUCUUCCUAAAGCCUGAGCAGAGCCUGUUGAUCUUUAGCCACUGAAUGGAUGCAGCUUCCCAGAAAUGUGCUUGCAUCUGUCAGAAUUAUAAGCAGCUGGCAGCCCCAGACAGGGGUCAUAUUUGCCGUGAGUGUGAAAAUAGGAUCCCAGGACAAGAAAUGCUACUUAGCAGCGUAUCGAUUCUGGGCGUGCUAUUAAUGUUGCAGCACAAUGCGUGUGUGUGUCCGUGCAGGCACUCCUGCACAUGCCAAUUAUGUAUUUAUAUGCAAGGUCUCCUCUCACACAGACCCCGUGGUCCUGGAGCUGAUCCAGGGCUUAUUAAAACUUGGUGACAUCAAAGGAUGGGAAAGGUCUGCCCGAGCUGAGGAACUCGGAGAGCUUAACAAUUAUUUUGCCUUAAUUCCCUCCUAAUUUAUCGUCUUUUUAUUGCCCUGAUUAAAAGCUCCCCUGUUUGAUAGCGGCACCGAAGGUAAUGGCGUUCUUCCGAGACUGAUGGGUGGCAAUUCCAGCAGGGGCUGCUGCCAUCUGUGGGGCACUGCUGUGGGUUUCUGUCACAGCGUUGCCACCACAGCCACACUGCCAGCGCGGUGCCAUCCCUGUGCUGCUCUGUGUGCCAGGCUGUGCGCUCAGCAUCGUGGCUCCUCAUGGUGCAGCCCCACAGCUCGACCCGGUGCUCAUCGCAGUGCUGUUCCGUGCUGGUUAUUAUUAGAUGGCACUGACAUGGAUCAAAGCACGUAAGCCCAACUUCUGAAGCACGCAACCACCAACCUCGUCCAGGAGAUCUUGCUCAUUGCUGCAGCUUAGGGCCAAGCAUUUUAGCUUGAGCGUUUUCAGCCUUGGAUUACAAAUUGCAACACUUCUGAAGUCUGUGGGACUCAGCGCCUUCAGUUCCCAUGCUGGGGAUGGUGAAGGGAUACUCCUGCAUCUGUUCCAUGAGAUUGCCAAGCAGCACAAUGGGAAACAUGCUGGGCAACAAAUGGGAAUGGGCCGGCAGCAGUGAGAGCUGACUUUGUCAGUGAAGUUUUUUGGUGUUAUUUUUCUAAUUUUUUUCUUUUUCUUUGGUUGGGAGGACAUAAUAACACCUGUGCUUGGCUGAUGGAUGUUAAAUAACGCUCCUCUCCUGGAUCGAGGCAGAUGGCAUGUAACACUGAGGUCUGUGUGCUGCACUGAUUACCCUGACCCCCUGUUUGGGUUGUCUGGGGCUGAGCUGCUCUCCCUGGAGCUCUGGAGCGGCUGCAGUUCACCAUCGGAAGUUUCUAGAAUUGGACCCAUCAGUAAAGCUUCUGGGAGGGACGAGCGCUUCCUUCCCACUGCUGGCUCCAAGGGAUCCAUCCUCUCUUUGCUCUGUGCGACCUCUGCGUUCCCCCGGGCGCGUUGUUUGCGGUGCUGGGGGCAG
ensembl:lncRNA